rnacentral:misc_RNA from 1 species
UCUCCGUUGGUGAACCAGCGGAGGGAUCAUUAGCGAGUUUAGGCUCUCAAACCACUGUGCACCAAUACUAUUUCUGCUGAGGCGGGCCGCUCGCUCGGGGAGCUUAGGCCUGUAAAGGUGGUCCGCCGAAGCAACCUUUUACGCUCUUUUGAACUGUAAAGAGAAAACUUUUAAAAAAAUCACAACUCAUAACAAUGGAUCUCUUGGCUCUGGCAUCGAUGAAGAACGCAGC